rnacentral:rRNA from 1 species
UGCAAGUCGAACGGCAGCACGGGAGCAAUCCUGGUGGCGAGUGGCGAACGGGUGAGUAAUAUAUCGGAACGUGCCCAGUCGUGGGGGAUAACGCAGCGAAAGCUGUGCUAAUACCGCAUACGAUCUAUGGAUGAAAGCGGGGGGUCGCAAGACCUCGCGCGAUUGGAGCGGCCGAUAUCAGAUUAGCUAGUUGGUGGGGUAAAAGCCCACCAAGGCGACGAUCUGUAGCUGGUCUGAGAGGACGACCAGCCACACUGGAACUGAGACACGGUCCAGACUCCUACGGGAGGCAGCAGUGGGAAUUUUGGACAAUGGGCGAAAGCCUGAUCCAGCAAUGCCGCGUGCAGGAUGAAGGCCUUCGGGUUGUAAACUGCUUUUGUACGGAACGAAACGGUCUACCCCAAUACGGUGGGCUAAUGACGGUACCGUAAGAAUAAGCACCGGCUAACUACGUGCCAGCAGCCGCGGUAAUACGUAGGGUGCGAGCGUUAAUCGGAAUUACUGGGCGUAAAGCGUGCGCAGGCGGUUAUAUAAGACAGAUGUGAAAUCCCCGGGCUCAACCUGGGACCUGCAUUUGUGACUGUAUAGCUAGAGUACGGUAGAGGGGGAUGGAAUUCCGCGUGUAGCAGUGAAAUGCGUAGAUAUGCGGAGGAACACCGAUGGCGAAGGCAAUCCCCUGGACCUGUACUGACGCUCAUGCACGAAAG